rnacentral:rRNA from 1 species
AGUGAACGCUGGCGGUAGGCCUAACACAUGCCAGUCGAACGGCAGCACAGUAAGAGCUUGCUCUUACGGGUGGCGAGUGGCGGACGGGUGAGGAAUACAUCGGAAUCUACUUUUUCGUGGGGGAUAACGUAGGGAAACUUACGCUAAUACCGCAUACGACCUACGGGUGAAAGCAGGGGAUCUUCGGACCUUGCGCGAUUGAAUGAGCCGAUGUCGGAUUAGCUAGUUGGCGGGGUAAAGGCCCACCAAGGCGACGAUCCGUAGCUGGUCUGAGAGGAUGAUCAGCCACAAUGGAACUGAGACACGGUCCAGACUCCUACGGGAGGCAGCAGUGGGGAAUAUUGGACAAUGGGCGCAAGCCUGAUCCAGCCAUACCGCGUGGGUGAAGAAGGCCUUCGGGUUGUAAAGCCCUUUUGUUGGGAAAGAAAAGCAGCAGGUUAAUACCCCGCUGUUCUGACGGUACCCAAAGAAUAAGCACCGGCUAACUUCGUG